AUGCAAGCAAGGUCCAGUGACCUAAGCAGUGGUCCGAGCAGCGGUGAGGCAGGGGCACUAGGGUGGCAAUAUCAACGGCGACUUUCAUCCUCUACCUGGGAGAACUUGCCUUCCGUGAAGGUUAACGGGUGCAGAUGGAGGCUUGCUCUGUCGCCAGACUGGAGUGCAGUGGUGCGAUCUCGGCUCACUGCAACCUCCACCUCCUGGGUUCAAGUGAUUCUCCUGCCUCAGCCUCCCAACUAGCUGGGACUACAGGUACAAACUAUGAGGAAAAUACAAGAGGAAAUCCCAAGAUGAACUUUUUCAAUUUUCUUUCCUUUAAUUUCUUUUUUCACAAAUAAAAUUAGUGUUAAAGCCUCUAGAAGAAAAUCAGUACUGUUCACAUUCUGUUUAGGUAAGUCAAAUGAUAUACAUAUUUAUAUAGAAACCAAAGUUCAUGUUACUAUGACUAUAUGACUAUUUUUCACACUAGAAUUUCAAAGGAUCUUAGACUAUUUUUCAAAUAGAUGCAAAUUUAGGUAGGUGCAACACUCAGAGGUAAAACAUAAAUGGGGUUGUCUGGUUACUGAGCUGAAGAAUUACAUUUUAAAAAAUUAUUUGAAAAAUUAUCAGAUCCAAGUUAAAAUGUACAAAAAGGAUCUUUAAAAACAUUGUCAGAAGUAUGAAAACCAGACAAAACAUUUGACAAGUAAAAGAAAACUUGAGCUAUAACCCAUACAAACCUCCCUGCUGCCAUAAAAUUCCCAGCCAGCACAAGAUAACAAGAUUCCAUUCUUGUGAUGUACGGGAUGGAAUUAAUACAUAUCAAAGAAAACAAUGGUUUCUGGUUAGUGAAGGUGCAAUGUAAAAUUUAUAAAGAUUAUGUUACCUUAACUGGCAAAUAAUAUGCAUGAGGUUUAAUCCACUCUGAACUUACCAAGUAUGUAGUGCUAGGUCCUACGGGUCUGUAAAAGGCAUCCUUUCCUAGCUGUGUUAGUUAAUGUGCAAAACAGUAAGCCAGAAACUAAGAAGUAGAAAAUAGUCACCCAUGCUUUCUCCACACCAAUAUAAAAUGACCUAAGCUACAUGGAAUAAAAUAAAAGAUUAAAACAUAAAGACACACCUAUUAGAAAAUAAAAACAUAUUAGUGAACUUUACAAACGUUACCAUCAGAAUAAGAGUAUGCUCUCUUGAAGGAAGUGGUAACACUGGCUUCUCAGGUAAGCCUAAGUAAGGAGACAUGGUAUCAGAGAAAAGGCAGUCAGAGAGCAGAAAGCUUUGUUUCAUUCAUUUGAGAAACAUACACUGAGUGCCUAAGUAUAGAUCUUGGUAAUGUAUGUGAAAAAAAUAUUUUUAAAAAGUUAAAAGAGGUUAUUUCAUGACCUAUUCUAAGUUUUGCAUUUGACAGGUAGAAUUAAAUAGUGUCAAGGUUUGGAUAUAAUGAUAUUUUUAAAACUAUCUUUAGUUUUUAUCCUUUUUAGAGAUAUAAGAAAAUUAAAAUGGUAAUAUAAAACAAUUGGUGAACUAAGCUGAGCUAAAAGCAAUUUAUGGAAGAAAAAUGGGUAGUAUUGUUUAUAUAUGCAUGUGGGUAUUUGUGUGGGCGCAUAUGUGUAUUUGUGUUGAAGGAGCAGCCUCCAGAUUGAUUAUCUUAAAGAAGUGCAGUAGAUCACCCUGUGUCCUCUAUCUUCCAUACCUCCUAACAGCUGCUCUUCAGCUGCCAGUUUUCUAGGUUAUUUGGCCACAUUUUUCUGCGAGAGGAGAGUCUUUUAUAAAAUGCCUUAUUUAGUUUCCUCAAAUACAGACUUCCUAGGAAACGUCACAGAUCGUGUGUUUUGGUUUAUGAGUUCAAAGGAAAAUUACUUUGAUUGCUAGAUCAAAAUUUUCAAUCUGAGGCACAGUGAAUAAUUAUACUUAAAAAGUUGAGCAUCACUUCUACUAGUGGUACUUAUAAUGCAUAAAAUGUUGUAUAAAUAAAUACAAAGUGUUUUAUGUGUAGCAAGUCUGAUGACUUAUAUAGAAUAAAAUUUAGUUAAACAUUUUACAUCUAAUUUUCAAAGUAAUUAUGCUGAGUGGAGGAAGCCAGGCAAAAAGGAAUGGAUGUUGCCUGAUUACACUUACAUAAAAUUAAAGACAAUGCAAAAUAAUUAUAAUGAGAGAAAGUACAUCAGUGGCUGCCAGGGAGAGAAGGAAAGGAAGACAGCAAGAGAGAGAGAGAGAGAAAAGAAAGGAGAGAGAUGACAAAAGAGACAAUGAAACUUUUGGGGUGCCAGAAAU
ensembl:lncRNA